CCGCGUGGGCCCCUAAGCCGAAGAAGAUUCCUGGAAGUUUCGCUGGCCAGUGUCGGGGUCUGUCGAAGGGGAUCGAAAACCCACAACUCCUCAUCAAUCCAGCUAGCAAGUGAGAUGGAGAACUGAUCCGAUCGCGAUCGGGAACAGCAGCGAUCGGUGACACGAGUGGAGCAGCGAUCCGAUCUGAUCGAAGAUGAGCCUAUUCGGUCUCGGGAGGAACCAACGGACAUUUCGCCCAAAGAAAAGUGCACCAUCUGGUAGCAAGGGUGCACAACUACGAAAGCACAUUGAUGCCACUUUGGGUAGUGGAAACCUGAGAGAAGCAGUAAGGCUCCCCCCUGGAGAGGACUACAAUG
rnacentral:misc_RNA from 1 species